AAAAAAAAGAUGCACAGGAAGUGUGGGGGUUGGAAGAGAAGAAAACUCUCUUGCUGGGGAUGGGUGAUGGUUAAGAGCAGCCAUAGUCACAGUGAGAUGGUCUGAAGUGUAGAGAGGAUCUGUGAUCUGCAGGAUCUUGGAGAGGCCCAGGGAAUGCUCUGUGAAGGUCACUGUACCAGACAGAUGCAGCCUUCUUAAACCAAGAAAUUAUACCUUGGCACUUGUAUCCUUCAGUUCCAUAGAGAAAUGGAAUCGCUGCAUUAGAUGCAACGUGUGUGAAACAGAAAAUAGCUAAAAUUAAUGAAGAGAAGCCUAACAGAACAUGAGCUAAAUCUGCCAGUAAAUACUACAUGAGUGAAAUAAGUGGCUGGAGGGAUGCUGCUUGUAUUUUGGAAAACUGAAAACUUAGCAAUGGCUCUUUAGUAUAAGUGGAAAAUGACACUGGGAGAUCAAGGGUUUUCAGUAGUUAUCUGCAGAGUUAAAACACUUUCCUUUUUCACACCAGCCAUUACUGCAUAUUCUCUUUUUCCUUUUUCCUUUUUUUUUUUUCCCCUUUUCCUCUCCUGCUCCAGUUUCUAGAUAUGUCUCUGUCUCUCCCUUUAUGGUAGUCCGACAUAGCUCUCAUCACAAAUAGCUAGCCAGCCUUUAAUAUCCUUUGAAAUCCCCAGACAUAGACCAUAGCUAUUGCCAAAAUAGAUAGAUAGACUGCCAUGACAUAUUGCACUAUAUAAAUAAUGAGAACAUAUGAAUAAUAAGAACAAACAUUAAUCAUGUUUGUAACUAUACAAUGGACUGCAAAAAGAAGAGAGUUCCUUAGUGAGAUGUUUUUAAAAUAAGAAGUCAAUAAAUUUGUUAUCUAGAGCUCCAUAAUAGGUACCAGUGGAAGUUUUCGUGAUUUUUUUUUUUUUUUAAUUAUUUAUUUUUGAUAAAUUGUGAAAUAAUCCUCCAGUCCUCAGCCAGACAUUGGAUACUUGGUCUUUACAAUACUAAGGCUAAAGAGAAAGGCUAACCAGUGCGCAGUAACAUAGUGUUGCUCUCUCAGCUGGAUUUUUGUGGACCCUUGUGAGGCUGUGAUGGAUACACUUGACCUCCAGCCGUAGUUCAGGCUGACUAAGGAGCAACAGGCCUCACAACCUAUGGUGAACCUGCAAGCUGGGAAGCCCCUGGCUCACAUACAGGGUAAUGAAGGUGCUCAUGCCCCUUGGUGAACCUGCAACUUGGAAAGCUCAUGCACAAGGGAGUGAAGGUGCCUUGGAAAAAUAUUUCAAAAGGUGAUUUCAAAGCCCAGAAAUGUAAGAUAACUGAAGUACAGAACAAGAUACGAGCUCUAAAAUGAAGACAUGUGUCUUGUGUAUACUUCACUCUAUAAAUACCGCAAUCAGGAUGGGCCCAGG